rfam:Aedes albopictus isolate Foshan contig45483, whole genome shotgun sequence.
UAGUUUAGUUGGUAAAGUACUUGUCUAGCGAAUAAGGGUCGUGAGUUCAAAUCUCAC